rnacentral:lncRNA from 1 species
UAGAUUUUCAUAGGUUUACUUUUCAUCUCUCUCUCCACUAAUGUGGACUAAUACAAAGCUAGAGAUCAAUAGGACUUUAUAAAGCUUGUAAUGUAUGGCUAGGGUCAAGGUAUGAUAAAGGAUAUUAAUGUGGCUCAAAUCACCCUAAGCACAUAAUUAUUCUAGGAUCUAUAGAGCUCUAUUUUCCUUCUUCAAGUACACAUUUUCUUCCACAUUUG